rnacentral:rRNA from 1 species
AGUGAACGCUGGCGGUAGGCCUAACACAUGCAAGUCGAACGGCAGCACAGUAAGAGCUUGCUCUUACGGGUGGCGAGUGUCGGACGGGUGAGGAAUACAUCGGAAUCUACUUUUUCGUGGGGGAUAACGUAGGGAAACUUACGCUAAUACCGCAUACGACCUACGGGUGAAAGCAGGGGAUCUUCGGACCUUGCGCGAUUGAAUGAGCCGAUGUCGGAUUAGCUAGUUGGCGGGGUAAAGGCCCACCAAGGCGACGAUCCGUAGCUGGUCUGAGAGGAUGAUCAGCCACACUGGAACUGAGACACGGUCCAGACUCCUACGGGAGGCAGCAGUGGGGAAUAUUGGACAAUGGGCGCAAGCCUGAUCCAGCCAUACCGCGUGGGUGAAGAAGGCCUUCGGGUUGUAAAGCCCUUUUGUUGGGAAAGAAAAGCAGCAGGUUAAUACCCCGCUGUUCUGACGGUACCCAAAGAAUAAGCACCGGCUAACUUCGUG